rnacentral:rRNA from 1 species
UACGUAGGUGGCAAGCGUUGUCCGGAAUCACUGGGCGUAAAGGGCGCGUAGGCGGCCUGAUAAGUAGGGGGUGAAAUCCUGCGGCUUAACCGCAGGGCUGCCUUCUAAACUGUCAGGCUUGAGCACAGUAGAGGCAGGUGGAAUUCCCGGUGUAGCGGUGGAAUGCGUAGAGAUCGGGAAGAACAUCAGUGGCGAAGGCGGCCUGCUGGGCUGUUGCUGACGCUGAGGCGCGACAGCGUGGGGAGCAAACAGG